rnacentral:tRNA from 1 species
GACAAGGUGUCCGAGUGGUUAAGGAGUGUGACUAGAAAUCACAUGGGUUCGCCCGCGUAGGUUCGAGUCCUGCCCUUGUCG